rnacentral:rRNA from 1 species
UACGAAGGGGGCUAGCGUUGCUCGGAAUCACUGGGCGUAAAGGGUGCGUAGGCGGGUUUUUAAGUCAGGGGUGAAAUCCUGGAGCUCAACUCCAGAACUGCCUUUGAUACUGAAGAUCUUGAGUUCGGGAGAGGUGAGUGGAACUGCGAGUGUAGAGGGUGAAAUUCGUAGAUAUUCGCAAGAACACCAGUGGCGAAGGCGGCUCACUGGCCCGAUACUGACGCUGAGGCACGAAAGCGUGGGGAGCAAACAGGG